AGCGGCGGACGGGUGAGUAACGCGUGGGUAACCUGCCCUGUACACACGGAUAACAUACCGAAAGGUAUGCUAAUACGAGAUAAUAUGCUUUUAUCGCAUGGUAGAAGUAUCAAAGCUCCGGCGGUACAGGAUGGACCCGCGUCUGAUUAGCUAGUUGGUAAGGUAAGGGCUUACCAAGGCGACGAUCAGUAGCCGACCUGAGAGGGUGAUCGGCCACAUUGGAACUGAGACACGGUCCAAACUCCUACGGGAGGCAGCAGUGGGGAAUAUUGCACAAUGAGCGAAAGGCUGAUGCAGCAACGCCGCGUGAGCGAUGAAGGCCUUCGGGUCGUAAAGCUCUGUCCUCAAGGAAGAUAAUGACGGUACUUGAGGAGGAAGCCCCGGCUAACUACGUGCCAGCAGCCGCGGUAAUACGUAGGGGGCUAGCGUUAUCCGGAAUUACUGGGCGUAAAGGGUGCGUAGGUGGUUUCUUAAGUCAGAGGUGAAAGGCUACGGCUCAACCGUAGUAAGCCUUUGAAACUGGGAAACUUGAGUGCAGGAGAGGAGAGUGGAAUUCCUAGUGUAGCGGUGAAAUGCGUAGAUAUUAGGAGGAACACCAGUUGCGAAGGCGGCUCUCUGGACUGUAACUGACACUGAGGCACGAAAGCGUGGGGAGCAAACAGGAUUAGAUACCCUGGUAGUCCACGCCGUAAACGAUGAGUACUAGCUGU
rnacentral:rRNA from 1 species